ACCAUCAGCGGCUGCAUGCCAGCAGGAGAAGGGGGGUGUCUAACUCUGACCCAUUUUGGGGAAGUAUCUUUUAACAGGAAGAUUAAGGUUCUUUAAUGAAGGUGAGGACCGGUGCGGACAUGCCGUGUUUUCACAGUCGGAUGGAUGGACAGAGAGCUGCUCCUGGAAACGUCACCCCCGGUGGCCCUGUGAUGGCUACGGAGGACUGGCACGGUCCAGCUAGUGUUGGCCAGCUGGUUGCGAGGAUGUCUGACAUCAUGACCCCCCACCCCCCAUGUGGGAGCUUUUGGAGGCACGUAGUGACGGACGGAUCCGUUACCAUUCGACGGAGAUUUCCGGAAAGCGAGGGAGGCCGGGCUGGUGUCGCCGAUGCCUGAGUUCCCGGCACAUGCUCGUCACCCUGCUAGAGUAAACGGAUCUGCGGCGAGUGCAGACGGCUCUGUCUUCGGCUGUAAAAUGAGAGAAUGUCAAUGUCAGCGACACCGCGAGAAUCAAUGUGUGACAUUUACACUUCGGGUCCCCCUGAGUCCUUAAGCAAGCAUUUGCUUUUAUAUUCUGUCUGCGUCUGUAAAAUUCUGCUAUGGCCCUUACAUUCUGUAUUACAUUCCCAUAAAUAUAUAAAACACACAUAAUCUGUAUAAAAUACCGCACUUAUAUGGUGUGUAGUUUAAUUUUAGCUCCUGUCGUUAUUCUCCUGAAAGGAAACGUGUUAUUAAAGGGCUGGUGUAGCCCCCGGAUUGUUCUAAACCCAUUUCAUUCACCUCUAGAGGGUGACCCACGUUUCCAUAGGAAAUUCAGCUGCUUGUGUCUCAGAGACUCUAUCCCUGCUUUUUUCAAGGAAAUUUUCCCAUCAAAGAAUCCCAGUCAGGAUGGGUCUUAGUGUUAAAAUCACUCUGCAGAUUGUCUGAUGCAGGUCUUUCUCCCCCUGAGGCUUGCGAUGCGACGUGAAGCUUUUGACCUCUGCAUGGUGACAUUUAUGUGAAGAGCCCAGCCCUCCACCUUCCUGCCGCCUCUCCCAUCUUCUGCACCAAGGAAAGGCCCAGAAACAGUCUUUGGGAAACAGUCUUGACAGAAUCCCUGGCAACCAUUUAAAGCAGUCAAAUGAAAUAUCAACUUGUUUAAUAAAACAAAUAUUUACAUUUUC